AAUUAACAGAUGGGGUGCCUUAAUACUACGGGCUGAGAUCAUACCCUUAUACCUGAUCCGGAUAAUGCCGGCGGAGGGAAGAAAGAGUAUCAUUUA
rnacentral:ncRNA from 2 species